AAACCAACCGGGAUUGCCUCAGUAACGGCGAGUGAAGCGGCAAAAGCUCAAAUUUGAAAUCUGGCACUUUCAGUGUCCGAGUUGUAAUUUGUAGAAGUAGUUUUGGGACUGGUCCUUAUCUAUGUUUCUUGGAACAGGACGUCAUAGAGGGUGAGAACCCCGUAUGAUGAGGCCCCCAGUCCUUUGUAAAACGCUUUCGAAGAGUCGAGUUGUUUGGGAAUGCAGCUCUAAGUGGGUGGUAAAUUCCAUCUAAAGCUAAAUAUUGGCGAGAGACCGAUAGCGAACAAGUACAGUGAUGGAAAGAUGAAAAGAACUUUGAAAAGAGAGUGAAAAAGUACGUGAAAUUGUUGAAAGGGAAGGGCAUUUGAUCAGACAUGGUGUUUUGCGCCCUUUGCUCCUUGUGGGCGGAGGAUACGCAGCUCACUGGGCCAACAUCAGUUUUGGGAGCAGGAUAAAUCUGUAGGAACGUAGCUUUCUUCGGGAAGUGUUAUAGCCUAUGGGAAUACUGCUACCUGGGACUGAGGACUGCGUCUUUGACAAGGAUGUUGGCAUAAUGGUUAAAUGCCGC
rnacentral:rRNA from 1 species